UACCCUCUCAUGGAAUACAAUUAAUCACACAAGGUGAUUCCCUCAAAUGAAUAAAAUAUAUAGUAAUAAAAACUCACAAUUAACCCUAUGUGUAUGAAUAAAUACAAAGUAAGAUCGCUAGGUUAUUUUCUCUCUUGAUGAUAAGACAAAUCUACCUUUGAGAGACUAUUUAAGUGUUAUAAAAUAAAAUGUAAGUGUGAAGAAAGAUUAUAGCACUUUUAUAUCUUUACAACAACUCCAAGAGUUGUAUUUAUAGUCCUAAUAGCAAAUCUUCCCAUUGGAAUUGUAAUAGAGCCGUUGGGAUUCAAUCUGAACCAUUGGAUGAUGAUCUAGAGCAUUCAGAUCUAUUUAUGAUAACUUCAGUCACAACUUCAGUUGGGGUUGCUUCAAUUCCAGAUUGAUCAGAAAACUUUGGUAGCAACUUUGGUCGAUCGAAUUUUUUCAACUGAUAGAACAUAGUUUAGUAAAAUGAUCAUAACUUCUUCGUUACUUGGAAUGUUUUCACACCGUUUGCGGAGGUAAAAACUAGACUUCUAGAGAUGUUUGCAUUUGGACUUUUUAAGUUGAUUCAUAUUUUAAUCCCAUUUAAAGUUGAUUCAUCUUUAUUAAAAAUUUUACAAAAAGGCAUCUUAGUAAUGCAUCACUCUUUUGAUCAAAACUUUCUCAAUACUUAAAGUUUGAUCAUGAGAUCAUUUCAUUGGAAAUAUAAAUUCCGGAUCAUGACUAUAGACUCAAACAGUUCUGUAUUUGGAGUCUUAAAUUAUGAGAUAAUCUAUUUGAAGUUGACUCAAGUUUUUAGAAAAUUCUUUUUGACAUUUUUCCUUAGGCAUCCCUUAAAUAAUAAACUUGCGAGAGGUCAAAACAGAUUCUAUGCAUAAUUGAAUACUUCUAUAAAGUCUAAUAUCACAUAUACAUCAUUUAUGACUUGUGAAAACAAACCAGAAUGAUAUUCUAAUAAGAAUUGAAUUUUGUUUAAGUCCACUUUAGUGAUUUGUGUAUAUUCAAGACUUGUGAACAUUCAAUAUGAUAGGAAUGUGAUGCAAUCAUGAAAUCAAUACUUUGAGUAAGUUAUUACACAUGAAUAAGACUUAUAUAAAUAUUCAAAUGACUCAAAGCAAAUUUUAUGUCAAAAUAUAAUCAUGUAUGUUGUUGGUUUCUCAAGAUUUGUAAAAGCAAGUGAAAUAUACAAAUUUAGUUAUAUUUCUUUUUAACCACUUUUAUUAUUUUUAACAGUAUAACUACCAUAAUUUAAACUUAGGUAAGUAAUCAAAAUAACUCACAACUUGUAUAAAGCACUACUUAGCACAUAAUUGAACUUUCGAAAUACGAUUUCAAGCCGCAAUAUAAAUUUAUGUAAAAUAUAACAUAUUGACUUGAAUACAUGAAAUUCAUUUUCAGGAGAAUGAAACACAUAAUUAUGAAAAAAUAAAUUUCAUGAGGUGCAAUCAAAUUCUCUAAUAAAUAUAACAUCUAACAUGAGAAAGAACUUAUCCAAUAUUAGAAGCAAGUCUCAAAACAAAUAUGCAUACGAUGUAGCAUGUAAACAUGCUCAAGUAAUGUGUUCUAAGUUUAUUAAAAAAGAUGUAGACAAGUGUAGCAAACAUAACUAAAUUUGAGAACCAUGAAUUUAAGUUAGUAAAUAAUAUUAUACAAUAUUAACAUAUUGAGUUGAAUACGAUAAAAAUAUAUUUUCAUGAUCAUAAACCAUAUAAGUGUAAAAAAUAAUUUUCAUGAAAUGUGUACAAGUUUUUUAAAAAAUACAAUAUUUAGCAUGUGAUAACUUGUACAAUGCAAGAA
rnacentral:lncRNA from 1 species